rnacentral:tRNA from 1 species
GUAGUCGUGGCCGAGUGGUUAAGGCGACAGACUUGAAAUCUGUUGGGAUAUUCCCGCGCAGGCUCAAAUCCUGCCGACUACG